rnacentral:rRNA from 1 species
UACGGAGGGUGCAAGCGUUACCCGGAAUCACUGGGCGUAAAGGGCGUGUAGGCGGUUAUUUAAGUCUGGUUUUAAAGACCGGGGCUCAACCCCGGGGAUGGACUGGAGACUGGAUGACUAGACCUCUGGAGAGGCAAUCGGAAUUCCUGGUGUAGCGGUGGAAUGCGUAGAUACCAGGAGGAACACCAACGGCGAAGGCAGAUUGCUGGACAGAAGGUGACGCUGAGGCGCGAAAGCUAGGGGAGCAAACAGG